UUGCUUCAGCAGCACAUAUACUAAAAUUGGAAUGAUACGGACAAGAUUAGCAUGGCCCUUGCACAAGAAAAUAGGUAAAAAGCACAGAGUCAUCUCACCAAAUA
ensembl:snRNA U6 U6 spliceosomal RNA